ensembl:lncRNA
ACACACACACACACACACACACACACACACACACUAGUUUAGAAAUUUUUAAAAUUACUUUCUCUUGGAAUGUGAUGAUCUUUUUCAAACUGCUUAUUCAGGUCUUAAUCAUUGAAGGAAAUUUUUCUUCAAUUGUAUCAUUGAUUAUCUCAACUCUUCUAAGAUCAUUCUAUUACCACAGUGUUAAUAACUCUAUUCUUUUUUUAAAUUUAUUUAUUUAUUGUCUUUUUGCCUUUUCUAGGGCCGAUCCUGAGGCAUAUGGAGGUUCCCGGGCUAGGGGUCUAAUUGGAGCUUUAGCCACCGGCCUACGCCAGAGCCACAGCAACUCGGGAUCCGAGCCUUGUCUACAGCCUACACCACAGCUCACAGCAACGCCUGAUCCUUAACCCACUGAGCAAGGCCAGGGAUUGAACCCGCAACCUCAUGGUUCCUAGUCGGAUUCAUUAACCACUGAGCCAUGAUGGGAACUCCCAAUAACUGUAUUCUUAGCCUAAGUCUGUGUUCUUUGUCUUUUAGGACCAUCACCUUCACUCUUAUAUCAUUUUCAUCUUUUGUCUUUUUUUCUUUCAUUCCUGAAAAUUCUCACAUUUGUCUUUCUCAUCCCUGAUUUAUCUUGGUCGGAACCUCUCUGACCAACACCCCCCCACAAAUGUUUGUUGUACUCUUUGCUGUUUCUAUUGUGUGUAUUAAUGUAACUAUCUUGAUUUUAUUUGCAUUUCACCUUGUUCCUUUAUUAUCUAAGUGUGGUGUCUUUUUUUCUCAUUCUUUUAUUUCUUUUCCUUAAAUAUUAUCCCCUUAGAAUUUUUGCUCCUAUUUCACAAAGAAUCUCUCACGUCUUGUAAGAUUUUAAGAUUUCCUUUUGCUUUCCAAAUAAAAUGUAUUUUAGAAGUAGGACUUUCUUCUGAGUCUUCAGAAUAAUAAUACUUCUUCCCUUUCCAUAUAUUUAUUGGCCCCAUGGUUUCUAAUGUUGGGAUCAGUUUUUGUCUUUUUGUUUAUUUGUUAUUAAUUUUGAAAGAAAGAAAGAUCUAUGCAGACAUGAUAUUUGUCAGUAAAUCUCUGUGUAAAUUGCUGUUGGCUUCUCUCACUGCUCAUUUGGCUGUUAGUUCCACUCCAUGUUCAGAUUAAUAGCUGGAGUGAAGUGGAGGAUAAGGAGGCUAUUUUGAUGGGUUUUAUAUUCGACCUCAUUUCCAGGCAUGAAUUCCUCUGCUUUAACUCUGCUGACUUGAAGUGAGAUUUCUCUCUAAUCCCCAGAGCCUGAUUCUUUAUCACAUUCCCUAAAUCCUCCUACCUUGGUAUGUUAUCCUACCAAGGUAGGGCUCUUCCCACCCCUGCAUUGCCCUAUUCCCUAUUCGCUAACUUUCAAAAUUGCUUUAUUAUGAAGACGUAACUCCCAACACUCGGUGCUCACAGUCUUGUAUAAAAGGAACAUAAGGGUGGUUGGUGUCUGAUAGGUUGGAGGUACAGAGGAGCAUAGAGAAAAACACUUUAACCCCCAGAUGUAGAACUGAACACUAGAGGAACAAUUUUUUUUUCUUGUUCAUGAUAGUUUAAACAGAAUUUGAAGCUAGUUCUCUUUGACUACUUUGUUCAAGUCAGUACAGUAGACACUCCUUCUAGAAACUAAUCCAUUUUCUUCAAAAGGAAGAAAUAGAAAGUUUCUGCCCCAUUUAUACUAUAAGAUACAUAAAAGGGAAGGACACUUUCCUAGCCUCAAAGAUACAAACAUCCACAUACAAAAUGACUACACAGCUUGUGUGGUGAAUUCAGAGAUAAGGUAAAGGAUUGCAUUUUUGAAUAUAGGUAUCAGACGACUCAUUCCCAUAAUACAGUAAACUCCUCUUUGUACAGUACACUGUAAAGGAAUGGGUAUUUGGGAUAAACAAGAGCUGCAGCACAUUAGGUGUGGUCUGACUCUUGCCCAGACAGCAGGAGUAUCACUCCCUUUGGUCUGGACACUGCAGUCCUGUUAAUUCAGCUCCAGAUCAAAUUAUCCUCUUGGCAGCAUCAACACACUGGUGACUCAUAUUGGGCUGGCAGUCAACUAAAAUCGCUAAUCCCUCUCACACGUGCAGCUGUUUAGUUACUUCUCCCCCAUUCUGGCUUGGUGCAGUGCUGCUCAGAGGCUGAAUGCUGUGUUUUCAUAUUCGUCUAAAAUCGUCUCAUUUAGAAGUAUGGAAAUUUCACACACUGCAUAAUCAUCAAGACAUAGGGAUGAAACAAGCUGAAACUGUUAUUAAUUUGCUUUUUAAGGCAAAAGGACUAAGUAAAUGAAAAAGAGAUGCAAAGAUUUAAGAAUAAUGUCAGUUUCCCACCGCUUCUCCUAUCUAAUAGAACAACAGUUUUCCUCUGUCCUCCUCCUGAAUAAAAGGUCUAUAUAAAUUCUCUGCAUCCAUCUUUUCUCUGCAAAUCUUCCAGCUAUGGGACUUUGGGGGAAUUCAUAUAUACAAGGCAGAGUGGUACCCUGGUUCUCUGGGAUGGUCACCUACUCCCCCUCAAAUGUAAUUUUAGAUACCGUCUUCUCCAAAAAUGACUGAGCCACACUAAGGGGGAACUAACAUUUUCUGAGCCUCUGCUAGAUUUAUUUAGGGUUAGGCACUGUUUUUAUAUAUGAUAUUUAUAACAUUGUCAUGGCAACCUUGUAAGUUAUACAGGACUCUCUCUGUGUUUUAUGGUGGCACAAUUAGAGGUAUUGGGAAAAUAAGGAUAUUAUCCUAAGUUACAAAGCAUAUAAAUGAAGGAGGCAGGAUUUGAACAUCAAAUGAUCUGAAUGGAAGGCUUGGUUUAUUCAACAAACUUCUAUUCCCAGUCAAAUGCUUAGAAAGCAGCCAAAUCUAGGAGAAAAGCUCUGGGGUGAAAAAAGCGAAAGGACAUUUACUCUGAAGGAAAGAUUAAUGAGGUGGUGUGCUUACUUUGGUCUUGGUUUCUAAAGCGAUGCCAAACUCAUCAUAUGUCCUCAGUAAAUAAUAGAAAUUUAUAAAUUAGGCAGGAAAUGGUCAGACAUUUUUAAUGUUGCUUAUCAAACCAAUAUGACUCUAUUAACUAGCAGCAAUGUAUUAAGUUCUUACUUUAUAUUCCGUACUUCAUGGGGUAUCAUGGGGCAUGUGGUAAAAUAAGACAAUAAGGUUUGAGUGAAACCCAAUAUAUAUGACCAACAUUCUCCAGUUUCAUCAGGUAGCGAAUUGUAUACUGAUUGUUGAUGGUAUGGAUAUUUAGAGACGGAGCACUUGAAGGAUUUGUGGGGGAAGGGAUCAUGGAAUACAUAGGGCUCAUUUUAUGUGAGUUGUGAAGGUUGGUGCAUCUCCAAAAAAGAAAAUGUCACCAGGAAGGAAGGAAGGCAAAGUGUAGAAUGUUUGGGGAAAAGGAGAAACAGAGACACAGAAGUGAUAGGAAAUGAUUGUAAGUUAGGGUAAUGUUAACUGGUGGAACAAACAAAUGGAUAAUGCAUGGAGGCUUUUAUUGGAAGCUCUUCAGAACCAGAUACAUUAAGUGGUGUUUAACAUAUUUCCCUUCGAAUUCCAUCGAGCAGAACUCAGAUAUGUGAUCACACGUAACAGCAAGGGAGGGUGGGAAAUGUCUAUUUGUGUAGAAGUAUUUCAGUUAAUAGCUCUAGCGCAGAAAUUGACACAACUCGGAAAGUCAACCAUACUUUAAUAAAAAUAAAAUUUAAAAAAUAGCUAGUUAAUCUCUGCAACAGAAAUGAAGUGAUUAAAAAACAAAACAAAACACUGAGGCUGACGAUUAAGACCUAAUCCUUUUGUGCGUCAGUUUUCUUAAUUGUAAAAUGGAGCUAAAACUCUUGAUAGCCUGCUUGCUCCUAGGCUUGACUUUAGAAGGAGCAAAUAAGAGAAUUAUUAUAACCUGGCUUUGAGAACUCCAAUGAGUUCUAAAAGUUUCUCUGGUGUUGGGGUUGGGGUCUCUUCUUAGAUGCCAGGAAACUGUUAUGCUUAUAGCCGUAUUUCUUUUUUUUUUUAAGUUUUAUUGAAUUAUAGUUGAUUUAUAAUGUUGUGAUAAUUUCUGCUGUACAGCAUAGUGAUUCAGUUGUACAUGUCCACACAGCCAUAUUUCUUUGUAGCUGCACAAAGAAGAUGGAGAAAACAGUAACAAAUUAAAGGAUCGACGGUACGAAGGAGUUUGGACUGGGAAAAAUAGGAAAUUACCAUUUUAAGACGGCUUCCAUGGGUCCAAGAAUUUUUCCAGCCACAUGUUGGGUACUAAUUAAAAAUUUGUUGAAUAUAUGAGAACUGCCUUGUUCUUUUAAUACCCAGAAAACCUGUAUCAAUGUCCUGUGUAUAAAAUAGGAUUCUGUGAGUGAAGAUAUGAGAUAAAUGGAAGGAAGAGUGAGCAAGAAAAAUAGGAAGAGGAAAUGUGGAAGGACUGAGCAAUGCUACCUUGCUUUACACUUGUAAUUUUAGUAUCUUUUGUAGUAUUUUACCUUGAUUAUUUUUUUAAACUUUUUACUGUGAACAGGACUUUGCAUGUAUAGAUGAAUAGAAAGAUAUUUAUAAAGACUCUCUAAAGCCCAUCGUCUAGAUUUAACAUCAUGAGAUGAAAAGGGAAGGUUGGGCAAUGGGGCACUUGUCUAAAUUACAAAUGACUUAAAAGUCUGAACAAUCAUAUGUAAUGAAUGGAUACUGAUUGGAUCAUCGUUUGACUAAAACAACCAUAAAAUGCAUCCUGAGACAACUAGGAAAAGGUAAAUGAGACUAGGAUGGUGUUAGAUGACAUUGAUAAAAUUAUAGUAUGUUUUAAUAAAUAAUUUUGUCCUUAAGAAAAUGUCCUCACUUUUUAGAAAUAAAUGCUAAGAUAUUUAGUAUACCUUACAAAGUCUAAUAUCCCUUUUAAAAAUUC